UAGCCAUGGACUCCUCCAACCUCUCAGCUCUCCUUCUCAUCUUCAUGCUCGUCAUUUCCUCCUCCCCUCUCUCUCUUGCCUGUGGCUACUGUCCUCCUUCUACUCCCAAGACCCCGAAAGGACCCAUCACCGUGCCUCCCAUCAUCGUCAACCCACCCAUCACCGUGCCUCCCAUCGUCGUCAGGCCGCCCAUCACCGUGCCUCCCAUCGUCGUCAAGCCGCCCAUCACCGUGCCUCCCAUCAUCGUCAGGCCGCCCAUCACCGUGCCUCCCAUCAUCGUCAAGCCGCCCAUCACGUUGCCUCCCAUCAUCGUCAAGCCGCCCAUCACGUUGCCUCCCAUCAUCGUCAAGCCGCCCAUCACGUUGCCUCCCAUCAUCGUCAAGCCACCCAUCACAGUACCGCCUAUCACGGUGCCACCAGUCAUCGGUGGCGGGAAGCCACCUGGGACCGGAACCGCCGG
rnacentral:lncRNA from 1 species